GUGCACGUUUCUGCAGCACAUAUACUAAAAUUGGAAUGAUACAGAGAAAAUUAGCAUGAGCCCUGCAAAAGGAUGAUAUGUAAAUUCGUGAAGCAUUCCAUAUUUUU